CCCGCUGAACUUAAGCAUAUCAAUAAGCGGAGGAAAAGAAACUAACAAGGAUUCCCCUAGUAACUGCGAGUGAAGAGGGAAAAGCUCAAAUUUAAAAUCUGGCAGUUUCACUGUCCGAGUUGUAAUUUAGAGAAGUGUUGCCCGCGUUGGACCGUGUACAAGUCUCCUGGAACGGAGCGUCAUAGAGGGUGAGAAUCCCGUCUUUGACACGGACUACCAAGGCUUUGUGGUACGCUCUCGAAGAGUCGAGUUGUUUGGGAAUGCAGCUCUAAAUGGGUGGUAAAUUCCAUCUAAAGCUAAAUAUUGGCGAGAGACCGAUAGCAAACAAGUACCGUGAGGGAAAGAUGAAAAGAACUUUGGAAAGAGAGUUAAACAGUACGUGAAAUUGUUGAAAGGGAAACGCUUAAAGUCCAGUCGCGUUGGUUAGGAAUCAGCCUUGGUUUUCCUUGGUGCACUUCCUAGUCGACGGGUCAACAUCAGUUUUGACCGUUGGAUAAAGGUCAAGGGAAUGUGGCACCUUCGGGUGUGUUAUAGCCUUUGAUUGUAUACAGCGGUUGGGACUGAGGAACUCAGCACGCCGAAAGGCCGGGUCUUGUACCACGUUCGUGCUUAGGAUGUUGACAUAAUGGCCUUCAACGACCCGUCUUGAAACACGG
rnacentral:rRNA from 1 species